rnacentral:rRNA from 1 species
CCUACGGGUGGCAGCAGUGGGGAAUAUUGGGCAAUGGACGCAAGUCUGACGCAGCGACGCCGCGUGAAGGAUGAAGGCUUUCGGGUUGUAAACUUCUGUUAAGGGGGAAGAGCAGAAGACGGUACCCCUUGAAUAGGCCACGGCUAACUACGUGCCAGCAGCCGCGGUAAUACGGAGGUGGCAAGCGUUGUCCGGAUUUACUGGGUGGAAAGGGCGUGCAGGCGGAGAGACAAGUCAGAGGUGAAAUCCACGGUCUCAACCCGUGAACUGCAUUUGAAACUGGUUCACUUGAGUGUGGGAGAGGUAAUCGGAAUUCCUUGUGUAGCGGUGAAAUGCGUAGAUAUAAGGAAGAACACCAGUGGCGAAGGCAGAUUACUGGACGAUAACUGACGGUGAGGCGCGAAAGCGUGGGGAGCAAACAGGAUUAGAUACCCCAGUAGUC